rnacentral:rRNA from 1 species
GAUGAACGCUAGCUACAGGCUUAACACAUGCAAGUCGAGGGACCGGCGCACGGGUGAGUAACGCGUAUCCAACCUUCCGUACACUCAGGGAUAGCCUUUCGAAAGAAAGAUUAAUACCUGAUGGUGUACGAUGGGGAUGCGUUCCAUUAGGUAGUAGGCGAGGUAACGGCCCACCUAGCCAACGAUGGAUAGGGGUUCUGAGAGGAAGGCCCCCCACAUUGGAACUGAGACACGGUCCAAACUCUACGGGAGGCAGCAGUGAGGAAUAUUGGUCAAUGGACGAGAGUCUGAACCAGCCAAGUAGCGUGAAGGAUGAAGGUCUACGGAUUGUAAACUUCUUUUAUAAGGGAAUAUGUACCUUAUGAAUAAGCAUCGGCUAACUCCGUGCCAGCAGCCGCGGUAAUACGGAGGAUGCGAGCGUUAUCCGGAUUUAUUGGGUUUAAAGGGAGCGCAGACGGGUCGUUAAGUCAGCUGUGAAAGUUUGGGGCUCAACCUUAAAAUUGCAGUUGAUACUGGCGUCCUUGAGUGCGGUUGAGGUGUGCGGAAUUUGUGGUGUAGCGGUGAAAUGCUUAGAUAUCACGAAGAACUCCGAUUGC